rnacentral:lncRNA from 1 species
GUGCUUUUUAUGACUACAAAUACAAUACUUCCUUCAAGACAGUUUACUGAGAUAUUGCUAACUUUCUGAUGAGAGGUUACCUUUAGAAAUAUCUGCCUAAAGAGAGAAGAGAGUAACUCGAAUGAAAGUUAAGAACAGCUUACUUCCAUAACAAUGAUGAAGGUCAUCUUGGCAGCAAGGACAUGCCAGAAUUGCAUAUUAUGAAAAUAUUUAUUCUCGUCAUCAGGAGGAUAUCUGUAAUCUCUGUACCUGCAAGUGAUGAAGUCUCGUUUUUCCGAAGGUGCAGUGUGGUUUGGAAAAUCAGCUAUCAGGA